rnacentral:rRNA from 1 species
UAGAGGAAGUAAAAGUCGUAACAAGGUCUCCGUUGGUGAACCAGCGGAGGGAUCAUUACUGAGUUUACGCUCUACAACCCUUUGUGAACAUACCUACAACUGUUGCUUCGGCGGGUAGGGUCCCCGUGACCCUCCCGGCCUCCCGCCCCCCCGGGCGGGUCGGCGCCCGCCGGAGGAUAACCAAACUCUGAUUUAACGACGUUUCUUCUGAGUGGUACAAGCAAAUAAUCAAAACUUUUAACAACGGAUCUCUUGGUUCUGGCAUCGAUGAAGAACGCAGCGAAAUGCGAUAAGUAAUGUGAAUUGCAGAAUUCAGUGAAUCAUCGAAUCUUUGAACGCACAUUGCGCCCGCCAGCAUUCUGGCGGGCAUGCCUGUUCGAGCGUCAUUUCAACCCUCAAGCCCUGCUUGGUGUUGGGGCCCUACAGCUGAUGUAGGCCCUCAAAGGUAGUGGCGGACCCUCCCGGAGCCUCCUUUGCGUAGUAACUUUACGUCUCGCACUGGGAUCCGGAGGGACUCUUGCCGUAAAACCCCCCAAUUUUCCAAAGGUUGACCUCGGAUCAGGUAGGAAUACCCGCUGAACUUAAGCAUAUCAAUA